UACGUAGGUGGCAAGCGUUGUCCGGAUUUAUUGGGCUUAAAGGGUGCGUAGGCGGCCCGGUAAGUCAGUGGUGAAAUCUCCUUGCUUAACAAGGAAACUGCCAUUGAUACUGUCGGGCUUGAGUACAGUUGCUGUGGGCGGAAUAUGACACGUAGUGGUGAAAUACAUAGAGAUGUCAUAGAACACCGAUUGCGAAGGCAGCUCACAAAACUGUAACUGACGCUGAGGCACGAAAGUGCGGGGAUCAAACAGG
rnacentral:rRNA from 1 species